UGUUUAUAAUUCUAAUUCUGGCCGACGAGAGUUUUAUAUGGAAAAUCGAGCAAAAAAGCUUUAACUAAAUUAAAAAUAGCGGAUAUCUAAACUAUUUAGAUACGUUCACAUUUUUAAUUAUUAAUGUUUUACAUAUAGCUGCAUUUGCAAGGAUAAUUUACCGGAAAGUUCGACUAACUUGCUACUGAAUACAGCGCUAGAGGCGUUAACAAAACAACACGUCGAAUAUCUGAUAUCCUGAAGAGAUCAAUGUCUCAAACACUGAUGUACUAAAUGGACCCAGCUUGUCAGGCUUAUCAUUUACACUGUAGAGAGCCCUUUCUUCUGGGUGUUACACACUUCUUCAUGAAUACAAACACAUUGUAACGAUAUACCAUAAAAUAA